GACGAACGCUGGCGGCGUGCUUAACACAUGCAAGUCGAACGGAAAGGCCUGCUUUCCCUUGUGGAUUGCGGGUACUCGAGUGGCGAACGGGUGAGUAACACGUGAGUGAUCUGCCCCCAACUUGGGUAUAAGCCUGGGAAACUGGGUCUAAUUCCCGAUAGGACUGCAGGGUGGUGCCUGUGGUGGAAAACGAUUUUCUAGUGGUUGGGGAUGAGCUCGCGGCCUAUCAGCUUGUUGGUGGGGUAAUGGCCUACCAAGGCGGCGACGGGUAGCCGGCCUGAGAGGGUGGACGGCCACAUUGGGACUGAGAUACGGCCCAGACUCCUACGGGAGGCAGCAGUGGGGAAUAUUGCGCAAUGGGCGGAAGCCUGAUGCAGCGACGCCGCGUGGGGGAUGACGGCCUUCGGGUUGUAAACUCCUUUCGACCGCGAGGAAGCCACCUGGUUGGAAGGGUGGUGACGGUAGUGGUAGAAGAAGCACCGGCUAACUACGU
rnacentral:rRNA from 1 species